AUAUGUUGGCUGUAUUAGGUUCAUUGUAGGAAUAUGGUGUGCACCUAUAUGGAAUCAAUUUCUCUUUAUAAAUAUAGGCGUUAGUUCUAUGAUUUAUGAGACCGAGUUUAAAAUAUCUUGGUCAGGGUGGAGUUAAUAGCGAAAAAGGGUUUCCGAUAUUAGAAACUCGAGUCGAAUAAAUUUAACAUAUGACAGACGAUGGGGUUUGACGAGCUAUUUUAUGACCUCCGUCU
rnacentral:lncRNA from 1 species